rnacentral:rRNA from 1 species
UAGAGUUUGAUCUUGGCUCAGGAUGAACUCUAGCGACAGGCCUAACACAUGCAAGUCGAGGGGCAACAUGGUAUCAUCUUGCUGAUACUGAUGGCGACCGGCGCACGGGUGAGUAACGCGUAUGUAAUCUACCUGUAACAGAGGGAUAACCCGGAGAAAUCCGGACUAAUACCUCAUAGCACAUAUUAUUCGCAUGAUUUUUAUGUUAAAGAGACUCGGUUACAGAUGAACAUGCGUUCCAUUAGCUAGUUGGCGGGGUUACGGCCCACCAAGGCAACGAUGGAUAGGGGUUCUGAGAGGAAGGUCCCCCACACUGGUACUGAGACACGGACCAGACUCCUACGGGAGGCAGCAGUGAGGAAUAUUGGUCAAUGGGCGAAAGCCUGAACCAGCCAAGUCGCGUGGAGGAAGACGGCCCUACGGGUUGUAAACUCCUUUUACCUGGGAAUAACGGGCGCUACGUGUAGCGCUGUGCAAGUAUCGGGAGAAUAAGCAUCGGCUAAUUCCGUGCCAGCAGCCGCGGUAAUACGGAAGAUGCGAGCGUUAUCCGGAUUUAUUGGGUUUAAAGGGUGCGUAGGCGGAAGAAUAAGUCAGCGGUGAAAUGCUUCAGCUCAACCGGAGAAUUGCCGAUGAAACUGUUUUUCUAGAGUAUAAAAGAGGUAUGCGGAAUGCGUGGUGUAGCGGUGAAAUGCAUAGAUAUCACGCAGAACCCCGAUUGCGAAGGCAGCAUACUGGGCUAUAACUGACGCUGAAGCACGAAAGCGUGGGUAUCGAACAGGAUUAGAUACCCUGGUAGUCCACGCCGUAA